AAACAUGCAAUUUUUGUGUAAUAAGAAAAAUAAAUAAUUUUUCUUUAGAAGUGUUUAUAGAAACAAGUGUUACUUCUUUCUCCUUCCUGUCACAUUCUCAACCCUUAAUCUAUAAAACUCAUUUUUCAUAAGAUUCUGAAUAACAACAUUUCUGGCACCCUGUUUUAUCUUUUUCAGAUGCCAGUGAAAAACAAUCGUCUUUCAGACAAGAUCAUUGUUUUGCCAGGAAAAAAUUGACGACAUCUCACUUCCUGAGGCCGUACAUGUGAUCAUUUCCGAACCAAUGGGAUACGUGCUGUUCAGUGAAAGGUUGCUAGAGAGUUAUCUUCAUUCCAAAAAACAGCUAAAAUCAAAUGGAAUGGUGUUCCUGACAUUCAGUGACAUCCACUUGGCCCCUUUUUCUGAUGAACAGCUCUAUGUGGAACACAUCUCCAGAACCAGUUUUUGGUAAUGUCCUUUUCCCCUCCCGUCCUUUCACUUCAGAGUAAACCAGAGUUUUUAAAACUA